AACGAACGCUGGCGGCAUGCCUAACACAUGCAAGUCGAACGAGACCUUCGGGUCUAGUGGCGCACGGGUGCGUAACGCGUGGGAACCUGCCCUUAGGUUCGGAAUAACUCCCCGAAAGGGGUGCUAAUACCGGAUAAUGUCUUCGGACCAAAGAUUUAUCGCCUUUGGAUGGGCCCGCGUUGGAUUAGCUAGUUGGUAGGGUAAAAGCCUACCAAGGCGACGAUCCAUAGCUGGUCUGAGAGGAUGAUCAGCCACACUGGGACGGGGACACGGCCCAGACUCUUGCGGGAUGGAGCAGAGGGUAAUAUAGGACAGUGGGCGGAAGGCUGAUCCAGUAAGGGCGGGUGAGUGAUGAAGUACUGAGGGUUGUAAAUCUCGUUUACCCGGGAUGAUAAUGACAGUACCGGGAGAAUAAGCACCGGCUAACUCCGUG
rnacentral:rRNA from 1 species